AUGGAUGAGAUAGGCAAGAGAAAAUAUGUAAAGAGAUGUUUUUUUUUAUUUUUUGUGUUAUUUCAUGAUUUUUUAUAUUUUGAAAUUAUAAAAUUAUGUAUAUUAUAUUUUAUGUGUAAUUAUAAUGAACAUAGACAGAACAGUUUUUUAUUAAUAGACGAUUCCAUAAAAUGUUCUGUAGCUAAAAAAAGAUAUUAUUUACAAAUAGUUUUUAUAGUACUAUUUAACACAAGUAUUAAAUUUUUAAACUAUUUUAUUUGUUUAUUUAAAAAAUGUAUAAAUAUAAAAAGUCCGAUAAUAAAUGAAAUACUAUUAUUAUACUCAAAUAUAUAUGAAUUAAAUAAAAUCGAUGAUUUUUUGUUGUUAUUAUUUUUAUUUUUAUUUUAUAAACGUUUUUUUAGUAAUCAUAAUCCUUACCUUUAUUUUAAUUAUAAUAAUGCUAUGUACAAUCAGAAUAUACAUAUAUCUCAAUAUGCAGUUAUUAUACUUAUAUUUUUGGUUUAUAUUUUUAUUAUGUAUUUGUAUGUGUAUAAAUGGAACAGCGUUGAUGAAAUAAAAACAGAAUCCAAUAUGAAGGAAACUAAUUUAAGUUUAAACAAAAAAAAAGUUGAUAAAAGAAUUGAUAAAAAAACUGGUAAAAUGUGUACGAUUAGUGAUAAAAGUAUUCAUAUGUUUGCCUCAAACACGUUCGUUAAUUCGGAGAACGAUUUAGAUAAAAACAUAAAUAAUAAAAACAAAAAAGUAAUUAUUCAAGAAUCACCUAAGCAUUUCAACACAUUAACAAUAAAUUUACCCGACGAAUCAGGAAUAGAUGACGAAUUUUUUUCUAAUUAUGAACAAGAAAAAUCGAGUAGUAAAAAUCGAAAUGAUGAUAAAAUUGUUAACAAAAUAGAUAACAAAAAAAAAAAGGGUACCAAACAAGACAACAAGGCUUGCAAUAAAAAAACAAUUUCUUAUGGUAAAAGAAGAACUCGUGUAAAAAACAAGAAGAUUUAUUUUUUAUAUGACAAGGUUAAAAAAGUUAUAAAAAAAAUAAUAAAAAAAAGACAUAUAGAUAAGUUAUUAUAUUUAUAUUCUAUGUUUGUAUAUAUUACUAUUUUAUUAUAUUAUUUUACAUUUUUUUGUUAUGUUCAUUUGGAAAAGUUUCCUACUAUAAUAACUUUAGUUUCAGUUAUGUGUAACAUUAUUAUUUAUAUAAUACUAGCUGCUGCAUAUGUUAAUUAUUUUAUAGAACAUAUACAUAAGUUUAUACGUAAAAAAAUAGAAAGAGUUAAAAAACGAAUAAAAGGAAUUGUAUUUAUAAACAUGUUUUUGUUAAAGAGAAAAGCAAAAAAAGAAACUAAGGAAAAAAAGAAAGAAAAUAAAUAUAUGGUACAUUUAAAUGAAUUAAAAUUAAAAAAUGAAGAAAUGAAAGAACAGUAUGUGUUAAAAAAUGAGAAACAGAGUAUUAAAAUGAUUACUACGAUUUAUAAAAACAGUAGAGAUAUUGUUACUGAUGAGUCAACUGUUUGUGUUAAUGGUAAUAUCAAAAAUAAUGGUGGUAACAACCUAUUUUUGAAU
ensembl:lncRNA